AAUGAACGUUGGCGGCGUGGAUUAGGCAUGCAAGUCGUGCGGAAAGGCUCCUUCGGGAGUACUCGAGCGGCGUAAGGGAGAGUAACGCGUGGAUAUCUACCCCCUGGACUGGGAUAGCGGCGGGAAACUGCCGGUAAUACCAGAUAAUGUCUGCGGACCAAAGGUGUGAUUCCGCCGGGGGAUGAGUUCGCGUCCUAUUAGCUAGUUGGUAGGGUAAUGGCCUACCAAGGCAAAGAUGGGUACCGGGUGUGAGAGCAUGGCCCGGCUCACUGGGACUGAGACACUGCCCAGACACCUACGGGUGGCUGCAGUCGAGAAUCUUCGGCAAUGGGCGCAAGCCUGACCGAGCGACGCCGCGUGCGGGAUGAAGGCCUUCGGGUUGUAAACCGCUGUCAGAGGGGAGGAAAUGCGUGGGAGUUCUCUCUCACGUUUGAACUAUCCUCAGAGGAAGUACGGGCUAAGUUCGUGCCAGCAGCCGCCGUAACAC
rnacentral:rRNA from 1 species